UACGUAGGGGGCUAGCGUUGUCCGGAAUCAUUGGGCGUAAAGAGCGUGUAGGCGGCCCGGUAAGUCCGCUGUGAAAGUCGGGGGCUCAACCCUCGGAUGCCGGUGGAUACUGUCGGGCUAGAGUACGGAAGAGGCGAGUGGAAUUCCUGGUGUAGCGGUGAAAUGCGCAGAUAUCGAGAGGAACACCUGCGGCGAAGGCGGGUUGCUGGGCUGACACUGACGCUGAACUGCGAAAGCUAGGGGAGCGAACGGG
rnacentral:rRNA from 1 species